CAUGCAAGUCGAACGAGAAUCUACUGAAAGAGUUUUCGGACGAUGGAAGUAGAGGAAAGUGGCGGACGGGUGAGUAACGCGUGAGGAACCUGCCUUGAAGAGGGGGACAACAGUUGGAAACGACUGCUAAUACCGCAUGAAGCAUAGGGGUCGCAUGAUUCUUAUGCCAAAGAUUUAUCGCUUCAAGAUGGCCUCGCGCCUGAUUAGCUAGUUGGCGGGGUAACGGCCCACCAAGGCGACGAUCAGUAGCCGGACUGAGAGGUUGAACGGCCACAUUGGGACUGAGAUACGGCCCAGACUCCUACGGGAGGCAGCAGUGGGGAAUAUUGGGCAAUGGGCGCAAGCCUGACCCAGCAACGCCGCGUGAAGGAAGAAGGCUUUCGGGUUGUAAACUUCUUUUAAGAGGGAAGAGCAGAAGACGGUACCUCUAGAAUAAGCCACGGCUAGCUACGUGCCAGCAGCCGCGGUAAUACGUAGGUGGCAAGCGUUGUCCGGAUUUACUGGGUGUAAAGGGCGUGCAGCCGGGUCUGCAAGUCAGAUGUGAAAUCCAUGGGCUCAACCCAUGAACUGCAUUUGAAACUGUAGAUCUUGAGUGUCGGAGGGGCAAUCGGAAUUCCUAGUGUAGCGGUGAAAUGCGUAGAUAUUAGGAGGAACACCAGUGGCGAAGGCGGAUUGCUGGACGAUAACUGACGGUGAGGCGCGAAAGUGUGGGGAGCAAACAGGAUUAGAUACCUUGGUAGUCCACACUGUAAACGAUGAAUACUAGGUGUGCGGGGACUGACCCCCUGCGUGCCGCAGUAAACACAAUAAGUAUUCCACCUGGGGAGUACGAUCGCAAGGUUGAA
rnacentral:rRNA from 1 species